rnacentral:miRNA from 1 species
ACCCACAUCAUCGAGGGAUCUUGCUAACAUACAGAUUCACAGUCAAUAGGUCUGGAGUGGGCUCGAGAUUCUGAAUUUCUAACAAGCUCUCAGGUGAUGCUGGU